ensembl:antisense
GACAGGGUUUUUACACACCCUGGAGGGAGACCCUGGAUGGAGUGCUGACUUUAUGGCAACUCUGCUUAACAUUGCAAGAAAGCUCUACACUGUUUUCGAGAGCUGUACUUUAUGGUUACACUGUGUAGUGGCUAUUCCUGGUUGUCAACUUGACAAUAUUUGGAAUGAACUACAAUCCAGAAUUGGAAAGCUCACCAGUGACCCUUAUCUGGAGGCUUGGAGAUCCUNNNNNNNNNNNNNNNNNNNNNNNNNNNNNNNNNNNGUGCCGAGAAUGGAGCAAGAAAGGAGGCCAGGAGCAUCCUGUCAUGUGAUCUACAUCCCAGUAUCCCACCAUCUUGCAUUCCAUUUUGGUUGAAAAGGAUGCUGCUUACUUCCAUUAUAUAUUAACAGCAAGGGGUAUAUCGUCAGAUAGCUAAUUCUUGAUGCACAAAUUUAUGAAUAACUUUAUAAACAUAUAAGCAGAUAACCAAAUAAAAACUGUCACUAACUCAAUCCAAGGUGAACAGUAGCCCCUUCUCAAGCUAGGCUAGAGAAGCUCACAGAACUCGGAGAUCCAACUUGCAUGCUGACACACAGGUGCCCAGGCAUCUAGAGGCUCAGGAGCCUCUCUUAAGCCAGCUGCUCAGUUAUCUCCCAUUAAUAAAAUAGAAAAUGCAGAAUGUCUCCCCUCUAUCAGCACUUGUCAGAAUUAAUCAGUGAUUGGAAAAUAACUAAACAGUAUUUAUUACACUUACUUAAUCACUAAUUAUAAGUGAAAGUGCUUUGCUGCUGAUUUCUGGAGUCAUGUUAGCAAACUGCUGAGUCCCCAGGAAGUGGCCGCAGGGACCUUCUUACGUCUAUUUGGUUAAUGAGAAGUAUGUGAGGCUUUGACAGGCGACUAGCAUCCGAGGUGAGUGCAUUUUCUGAAAAUGACCUCAACCUGUGCAUCCACACUAACCAGAAACAGCAUCCUCCCUGAGCAUGUUGCUGUGCAAAGAGCUGGGAGGGUGGUUGGUGGGAAUAGAAAAACCCUAAGUGUUUGGUGUUGGAAGCGCUGUCUGCGAGGAUCAGAGGGCACGCUGUUUCCCCGACAUUUUCAGUGCUCCUUAGCAGUUCUAUUAUUUAGUUAGCUGGCAUGACUGCUGAUUCCUCAUCUGCGUCAUCUCUCUCUCUCUACCUGUCAGUCACUGCACGGAGGAAGGAGUUCUCUUUCUCCCAGCGAGCGCAUUCAUUCCAGCAUUAACCUCUCCAGCAUCCUUUCUGUUGGCUCUCAUUUGGGUUUGUGCUAAAGCUCAUUUUCCAUGGUCCCUCUAUGCCGAAAAUUCAGAUGUUCACUGUUUACAGCUUCUUUAAAACAAUUUUUAUAUACUUGACUAUCUACUAAGCCAUCCAAAUCCUCUUUACAAUCUAAAUAAAUCUACUUCUUAAGCU